GACGAACGCUGGCGGCGUGCCUAAUACAUGCAAGUAGAACGCUGAAGAGAGGAGCUUGCUCUUCUUGGAUGAGUUACGAACGGGUGAGUAACGCGUAGGUAACCUGCCUUGUAGCGGGGGAUAACUAUUGGAAACGAUAGCUAAUACCGCAUAACAAUGGAUGACACAUGUCAUUUAUUUGAAAGGGGCAAUUGCUCCACUACAAGAUGGACCUGCGUUGUAUUAGCUAGUAGGUGAGGUAACGGCUCACCUAGGCGACGAUACAUAGCCGACCUGAGAGGGUGAUCGGCCACACUGGGACUGAGACACGGCCCAGACUCCUACGGGAGGCAGCAGUAGGGAAUCUUCGGCAAUGGGGGCAACCCUGACCGAGCAACGCCGCGUGAGUGAAGAAGGUUUUCGGAUCGUAAAGCUCUGUUGUAAGUCAAGAACGAGUGUGAGAGUGGAAAAUUCACACUGUGACGGUAGCUUACCAGAAAGGGACGGCUAACUACGUGCCAGCAGCCGCGGUAAUACGUAGGUCCCGAGCGUUGUCCGGAUUUAUUGGGCGUAAAGCGAGCGCAGGCGGUUUGAUAAGUCUGAAGUUAAAGGCUGUGGCUCAACCAUAGUUCGCUUUGGAAACUGUCAAACUUGAGUGCAGAAGGGGAGAGUGGAAUUCCAUGUGUAGCGGUGAAAUGCGUAGAUAUAUGGAGGAACACCGGUGGCGAAAGCGGCUCUCUGGUCUGUAACUGACGCUGAGGCUCGAAAGCGUGGGGAGCGAACAGGAUUAGAUACCCUGGUAGUCCACGCCGUAAACGAUGAGUGCUAGGUGUUGGAUCCUUUCCGGGAUUCAGUGCCGCAGCUAACGCAUUAAGCACUCCGCCUGGGGAGUACGACCGCAAGGUUGAAACUCAAAGGAAUUGACGGGGGCCCGCACAAGCGGUGGAGCAUGUGGUUUAAUUCGAAGCAACGCGAAGAACCUUACCAGGUCUUGACAUCCCGAUGCUAUUUCUAGAGAUAGAAAGUUACUUCGGUACAUCGGUGACAGGUGGUGCAUGGUUGUCGUCAGCUCGUGUCGUGAGAUGUUGGGUUAAGUCCCGCAACGAGCGCAACCCCUAUUGUUAGUUGCCAUCAUUCAGUUGGGCACUCUAGCGAGACUGCCGGUAAUAAACCGGAGGAAGGUGGGGAUGACGUCAAAUCAUCAUGCCCCUUAUGACCUGGGCUACACACGUGCUACAAUGGUUGGUACAACGAGUUGCGAGUCGGUGACGGCAAGCUAAUCUCUUAAAGCCAAUCUCAGUUCGGAUUGUAGGCUGCAACUCGCCUACAUGAAGUCGGAAUCGCUAGUAAUCGCGGAUCAGCACGCCGCGGUGAAUACGUUCCCGGGCCU
rnacentral:rRNA from 1 species